rnacentral:rRNA from 1 species
GACGAACGCUGGCGGCGUGCUUAACACAUGCAAGUCGAACGGAAAGGCCCGGCUUUUGUGGGGUGCUCGAGUGGCGAACGGGUGAGUAACACGUGAGUAACCUGCCCUUGACUUUGGGAUAACUUCAGGAAACUGGGGCUAAUACCGGAUAUGAGCUCCUGCUGCAUGGGGGGGGUUGGAAAGUGUCGGCGGUUCGGGAUGGACUCGCGGGUUAUCAGCUUGUUGGUGGGGUAGUGGCUGACCAAGGCUUUGACGGGUAGCCGGCCUGAGAGGGUGACCGGCGACCAUGGGACUGCGGGACGGAGCAGACGGCAACGGGAGGCAGUAGUGGGGAAUAUUGCGCAACGGGCGGAAGUCUGAGGCAGCAACGUUGCGUGCGGGAUGCCGGGCUUCGGGUUGUAAACCGCUUUGGCAUGUGAUGAAGCGUGCGUGACGGUAAUGGGUAAAGAAGCACCGGCUAACUACGUG